rnacentral:rRNA from 1 species
UACAGAGGGGGCAAGCGUUAUUCGGAAUUACUGGGCGUAAAGGGCGCGUAGGCGGCUUGGUAUGUCGGGUGUGAAAUCCCCGGGCUCAACCUGGGAACUGCAUCCGAAACUGCCUUGCUAGAGUAUGGGAGAGGGAAGUGGAAUUUCCGGUGUAGCGGUGAAAUGCGUAGAUAUCGGAAGGAACAUCAGUGGCGAAGGCGACUUCCUGGACCAAUACUGACGCUCAGGUGCGAAAGCGUGGGGAGCAAACAGG